ACAUGGGGAGCUUGCUCCCAGAGAUGCUGCGAGGAAAGUCCCCGUGCCUUGGUGCAGAGAGUGCGAGUGGGA
rnacentral:RNase_MRP_RNA from 1 species